rnacentral:rRNA from 1 species
AGAGUUUGAUCCUGGCUCAGGAUGAACGCUGGCGGCGUGCCUAACACAUGCAAGUCGAGCGGAGUUAUUUUCAGGAAGCUUUCGGGUGGAAUGAACUUAACUUAGCGGCGGACGGGUGAGUAACGCGUGGACAACCUACCCUGUACAGGGGAUAACAAUGGGAAACCAUUGCUAAUACCCCAUAACACCUUUUAGGGGCAUCCCUUUAAGGUCAAAGAAUUUCGGUACAGGAUGGGUCCGCGUCUGAUUAGCUAGUUGGUGAGGUAAUGGCUCACCAAGGCGACGAUCAGUAGCCGGCCUGAGAGGGUGAACGGCCACACUGGAACUGAGACACGGUCCAGACUCCUACGGGAGGCAGCAGUGGGGAAUAUUGCACAAUGGGCGAAAGCCUGAUGCAGCAACGCCGCGUGAGCGAUGAAGGCUUUCGGGUCGUAAAGCUCUGUCCUAAGGGAAGAUAAUGACGGUACCUUAGGAGGAAGCCCCGGCUAACUACGUGCCAGCAGCCGCGGUAAUAC